AGUGAACGCUGGCGGCAGGCCUAACACAUGCAAGUCGAACGGCAGCACAGUAAGUGCUUGCUCUUACGGGUGGCGAGUGGCGGACGGGUGGGGUAUAUAACGUAAUCUACUUCUUCGGGGGGGAUAUCGUAGGGAUACCUACGCCAACACCGCAUACGACCUACCGGUGCAAUCACGGAAACUUUGCACUUUGCGCGCUACAAUGAGCCGAUGUCGGAUUUGUGCUUUGGCGGGGUAAAGGCCCACAAAGGCGACACUCCGUAGCGGCGCCGAGAGGAGGUUCAGCCACACUGGAACUGGGACACGGUCCAGACUCCUAGGGGAGGCAGCAGUGGGGAAUAUUGGACAAUGGGCGAAAGCCUGACCCAGCAAUACCGGGUGGGUGAAGAAGGCCUUGGGGUUGUAAAGCCCUUUUGUUGGGAAAGAAGAGCAGCAGGUUAAUACCCCGCUGUUCUGACGGUACCUAAAGAGUAAGCACCGGCUAACUACGUG
rnacentral:rRNA from 1 species